UACGGGGGGAGCAAGCGUUGUUCGGAUUCAUUGGGCGUAAAGGGCGCGUAGGCGGCGGGGUAAGUCUGGUGUGAAAUCUCGGAGCUCAACUCCGAAAUUGCACUGGAUACUGCUCUGCUUGAGGGUUGGAGAGGAGAUCGGAAUUCACGGUGUAGCAGUGAAAUGCGUAGAUAUCGUGAGGAAGACCAGUGGCGAAGGCGGAUCUCUGGACAAAUCCUGACGCUGAGGCGCGAAGGCUAGGGGAGCAAACGGG
rnacentral:rRNA from 1 species